GACGUCAAGUCAUCAUGGCCCUUAUGUCCAGGGCGACACACGUGCUACAAUGGCCGGCACAGCGGGAAGCGAAGGGGCGACUCUGAGCGGAUCCCUUAAAGCCGGUCCCAGUUCGGAUUGCAGUCUGCAACUCGACUGCAUGAAGUUGGAAUCGCUAGUAAUCGUGGAUCAGCCAAGCCGCGGUGAAUACGUUCCCGGGCCUU
rnacentral:rRNA from 1 species